GUCCCUGCCCUUGAGGAGCUCCUAAUCUAAUCAGGGAGACAGAUAACAUGCAAGUAACUAUCCAAACAAGCUAGAUAACAGGAUACAUUGAAAAUCUGAUGUGGCAGAUGGAAACAAGAGUAGGUAAUGGAAGAUGAAUAAAAAUGUUUUGGGAAGGUCCUGUAACAAUAGUGUCCAGAAUGCUAAAGCUCAGAAUGGGUGGAAUCUGACCAAUCUGAUCAAUCUGACUGGGAGUACAAAAGGAGGUCGAGCUCUGGAUGCUCUGGACACUGACCCCUGGGAGAGCCACCAAGCUAGAUGAUGACUUCAAGGAACAAAAGAAUUUGGGGGACCUCUGUACCAUUUGGGGGAAAUCCAGGGGCAGGGAAAGAUGAUUGACAUCACUAUAGCUACAAAGAAAAUGGGAGUGUUCAGACUAUACAGACAGAAUACCAUCAAGGUGAGAAAAGAAUCAUAGCUAGAGGUUAAGGUGUAAGGGAAGGGCUGCUUACCAUGGAUACCUGCCCAAUGUGGGUCUUCUUGGGAAAGGGUGUCUGAUACAACAGUGAAGACUACCUAAGACAAAAAGGGUCCUUAGCAUAUGCAUAGUCCCACCUAACCAGAAUCAAUAUUUACCUUAGGGUCCAUUAUUCAGUCUGGAACUGCUAGUCUGAGAUUCCCUUCAGGGUGGAUUCUCACAGGAACAAGUACAAGCUUUGGGGUCUCCAACUUACAAGCUAGUCCCAAGAGUUGGGGUUCAUCAGAUCUUACUAGGCUACAAGUUUGGGGUUUCUAGAUUCCAUGUUGACACCCUGACAAGCCACUCAACCUCAAUUGCUUAGCUCUUACUACUCUUCCUCCUUGAAACUGAUACCUAGCAUUGAUUCUAAAAUGGAAGGUAAGGAUUAAAACCAUCUUUUUUUAGGGGAACCUGAAAGUUGGCCAGUCCUGAAAGCAACUAAUCCAGUUUGACAGUUCCAGAGAGCCCCAAAUCAGAAUGGCUUUGUGGCAUGUGACCCCCUAUGCUCAUACCAGAGGGCAGUGUUGUGGGGAGGGGAAUAGGGAGAGAGCUUUCUUUCUCACCUCCCUCCCUCACAGGAUAUGGUAUCUGGAAAUAGAGCUAUGCAACCAAUGGGGUAUAAGAGUGUUCAGGGAGGACUAGUGUCCCUUCAGGGGUGCUCAUCCUCCUUUGCCAGUAGCUCUCAGCAGUGGUUCCAAGAGGCUGCAGCAUGUACAGUGGCCACAUCCCAGUAAAAGCAUCUCAGCCCGUGGAGGAUAACUGAUAGCCCUCAAACCCAUUAAUAAGUUAGGGAGAUGUCUAC
rnacentral:lncRNA from 1 species